rnacentral:lncRNA from 1 species
GUAUUAUUGGGUCUCAAAACAAAAGAAAGAAAUUCAAGAAUCUUCUAAAAUUUUGGUAAAUGACCUUUCAUGAGCUAUUUUAAAGUCUUAUAUAAAAAAUUAAAUGGGUGUUAUGGGGCAAAAUAUUUUACAUUGUGUUGUAUGGAAAAACACCAAGGAGUCCGAACAUUUGACACAAAUUCCAAAACCUCACCUAAGUACAUCCUUAA